rnacentral:tRNA from 1 species
CGCGGUGUUGAGCAGGUGGUGGGCUCAGCGGCCUGUAAAGCCGUCUCUUCGGACGUGUCGGUUCAAUUCCGGCCACCGCGA